AGUUGUAGUACGCCUGCCAUCCCUGGCGCUUGCUCUUCCAGCGGCAGCGCAGGAUGCGGAUGAAGGCCUGCGGGCGGAGCAGAGCGAUGAAUUCAGAGACGGAUGAACAGACGGAGAACCGUCUGCUGAUGAUCCACGAACAGAUUCUGGGAACUAGUUCAUCUGCUGCUAAAAGAACCUGAACCGUCUGGAACUGAAAUGAGUCAAAACUCACCAACACAGAUAGAAAUACAGAUAAUAACUAACCCUGACAGAGCAACACUGUCAGUGUUAAUAACUAAUACAGAGAGAUAAAGAGAUAAUAUUUAAUCCUAAAGUAAUAUAAAGUAAUAUACUGAACAACCAGGAGAAUUAGCUCCUGGUUUCUGUUUCAACUCAACAGGUUAAAACAGCAUUUAACGUUAGAAAUAUUAUUUCCUACAGUUCAUUGUCUUACUUAAAUGUUAAUAUAAUUGAUUAAUCUCAUUUAAAAGAUUAAUGUGUACAAUAUGAGGAAAAUAAUGAUGAAAAUGGUAAAAGCAGAUAUUAACCUCACAGUGAAGUUUUCAUCUGUUUAUAUUUUUAUUCAUGUUUUUCUGUUUCUGUUAAAUGAUAGAUAAUCUUGCUCUUUAACUUGUUUUUGAUCAUAUAGUUUCAUCCUUUACUGUUUGCGUUUCCAGGUUGAUAAUAUUGCAGGAUGUUUAUAUAAACUCAUUCUUGUUCGUACUGAUUUGACCUGAUUCUUCUGGCUGGUGGUAAUGUUCAUGUUUCAGAGCGACGCAGCCUGAAUCCAGACAUAAUCUGAGGAGAAAUUAGGGUGAUGAUACGGAGGCCCUCCAGCCUUCACUACAGAGUAACCAUGACAACCAGAGAAACAGGGAAAAGCUGCUCAGAAUUUAUAAAUAAAGACUUUCCCAUUAAUCAUUUUAAACAAGCCAUUUUUAUAAAAUACAUCAAUAAAAAGUGAUUUUUUUUCUCUAAAAUGAGAUCCUGUGUUUAUCAUUUUAUCAGCUUCUGAGGCUCCAGGUGUAUGAAUAUUUAUGGGCUCAUCUGUUUUUCUCUGUGCAGCAAUGAAAAUCCCCACCUUGAGUUGGAACCCUGAAAACAUCUAAAGGAUAAACUCUGUAAAUGUGGUGAUGAAUUGAGACGCUGUUUGCUAAAAUGAGAUGAAAACAUGAUGAGCCAAUGUGACUGUGUGAUCACCCAGAGUGACGUGUGUGUUGGAUUAUUUCAGCUCAUCUCUCUGUGGAAACAAAGUUUCCCUGAACGCCUCGACGCUCCGAGCCUUAGAGUCAGACGAUUCUGAUCUGGUCCAAACGGGCCCGGUGUUACCUGUGAUGGCGGCUGCUUCCAGCCAAGCAGCGGCCCGAUGGAGAUGACCA